CACAGAUUUUAACUCUCCAAAUAAACGUUUAAGCUCAAGUCUCACAAGGUUGUAGCGUUAGUUUGAGUUCUUUCCUUCAAGCAUGUUACAAAAACUAAUUUUUUUCUUUUAUGAUUACAUGUGAUUUCAUAAGUUAUAACCACAACCACGCAUAAAUAAAGAGUAAAUCAAACUUUCAUCCAUGUUUAUAACUCUCUUUAACAGUCAUGCAAUUACAAACCGAAUCCUCAUCAUUGUGUUGGAAGGUACCCUAAGACACAAAUAAGCGCACAAAAACAACUCUUUUUUUGGAUUUUCAAAAACAAUUUUUCAAAUUUUUAUGAAUUUUCGGAUUUUUUAUGUCAAAACACACUGAAACACUCCAAAACAGCUUAAAAAAUACUUAAAACAACAAGGAACAACACUAGAAGUAAUGGGUGAUAAAUUUCUACGAAUUUCAUGCAAAACAAUGGUUACCCCCCCACACUUAAAUCAAACAUUGUCCUCAAUGUUUCAAGCAUAUACUCACACCAAAAACAAGCAAAUAACAAACGACAAAUAAACAUGACAAAUAUGGCAAAGUAAAAACCAGACAGAGUAGAGUUUAAGAACGCAAAUCUGGUUUUGGAGAUAGUUGAUCUUGUUGACUUUCCACAGCUUUGAUCUUGAACUGGAUUGGAAUUGUACAGCGAAGCUUUGCUCUUUGGUGAUGUUGCAGUUCCUUAUUUGUUCUCCAAGCAGAUGUGGCAGCUUCUUUAGUUCUUCAUCUCAGACUCCUUGUGCUGGGUUGAUUGUGCAAGCUGCAUUCUUCUCUGCUUGUUUCUUCUGCAUGACGGGCAGGCACGAGGUAAAGGUGUUGGUCUGUUUCUUUCUUCAAUCUUUCCAAGUGCCCACCUCUUGCUUUCUUUCUCCUUGUCCCUUAGUUGAGGAUGAAUCAGCACGUUGUCUCCACAUGCUUCGAGGUAUCAUCUUCACUUCCCUU
rnacentral:lncRNA from 1 species